rnacentral:rRNA from 1 species
UACGGGGGGAGCAAGCGUUGUUCGGAUUUACUGGGCGUAAAGGGCGCGUAGGCGGCCACCGCAAGUCAAUUGUGAAAUCUCCGAGCUUAACUCGGAAAGGUCAACUGAUACUGUGCGGCUAGAGUGCGGAAGGGGCAACUGGAAUUCUUGGUGUAGCGGUGAAAUGCGCAGAUAUCAGGAGGAACACCGAUGGCGAAGGCAGGUCUCUGGGCCGAUACUGACGCUGAGGAGCGAAAGCGUGGGGAGCGAACAGG